UACGAAGGGGGCUAGCGUUGCUCGGAAUCACUGGGCGUAAAGCGCACGUAGGCGGCUUUUUAAGUCAGGGGUGAAAUCCUGGAGCUCAACUCCAGAACUGCCUUUGAUACUGAGAGGCUUGAGUCCGGGAGAGGUGAGUGGAACUGCGAGUGUAGAGGUGAAAUUCGUAGAUAUCGGGAGGAGCACCGGUGGCGAAGGCGGCGACCUGGGUAGAUACUGACGCUGAGGUGCGAAAGCGUGGGGAGCAAACAGG
rnacentral:rRNA from 1 species